GGAAUUCUGGAGGUCCUGAACCUGGGAGAGGACAGAAGAGGGAAGAAAUGCUUUAAGGGAAGUAUGGGGUUCCUGGGUGCUGGCUUUUAUUUUUCUCCACUAAACAGUGCUGUAGGGAGGCUUAUUUCUGAAAACAAGGACAUGCCAUUGAACGACUUAUUUGUAAAUGUCCUUGCUCAUUCUUAAGCUCAUACUAUGUGCCGUGUGGCUUUGAAGGCAGGCACCUCACUGCUUGGUGUUUCUGCUGAAAUCACAUGGUCACCCACUGUCUAUGAACACGGCCCCUAAACCCUGUCAUUCUGCUGCCAGGCCCUCUCUGUGGGCUGUGGCUUUGUAAGGGAAGAGGCAGUCACGAUUCUCCUCCAGAUGCAAAUAUUCAGCCCUCACUCUGACAUGUUUCACAGUUUAAUUUCUUUCUCUACUAUCACUGGGUCAAAAUUCUUGAAACAAACAAAAGGAUAUAACCUGACAAAUUAUUUUGCAGACAAAGUCCACCAUGCUGCCAGGCUUUGCUGCUUCCU
rnacentral:lncRNA from 1 species